AGUAGUACGUAAGUUUUCAGGAUCUAACAUCAUAUAAAAGUACUGAUUUCAAAUUAGGAAUCAUUCUGACAACAGAAUCACAAGACGCCAGAUCCGCAAAACAAACAAACAAAAAACCAACAACAGUCACUUGCCAGAAUCAAUUCCUGACGAGAUGAGUGGACUAAUUUCCCAAGACAGAUCAUACUGUAUCCUGCACGCCUGUAGUCUUACUGCCCUGUGAAUAAAGCAGAGCUCGUCUACCAAGCCUGAAGAUGGAAAACAUCACCUCAAGCUCUAAGCUGGCCUGUAACGAGAGUUUGGUGAACGUGUUUAGUAUGGC